rnacentral:rRNA from 1 species
UACGUAGGGUGCAAGCGUUGUCCGGAAUUAUUGGGCGUAAAGAGCUCGUAGGCGGCUUGUCACGUCGGGUGUGAAAGCCCGGGGCUUAACCCCGGGUCUGCAUUCGAUACGGGCAGGCGUGGAGUUCGGUAGGGGAGACUGGAAUUCCUGGUGUAGCGGUGAAAGUGCGCAGAUAUCAGGAGGAACACCGGUGGCGAAGGCGGGUCUCUGGGUCCCUACCGACGCUGGGGGUGCGAAAGCAUGGGGAGCGAACGAGG